rnacentral:rRNA from 1 species
UACAGAGGGUGCAAGCGUUGUUCGGAUUUACUGGGCGUAAAGCGUACGCAGACGGCUUGGUAGGUCGGGUGUGAAAGCCCCGGGCUCAACCUGGGAACUGCAUUCGAUACUGGACGGCUAGAGUAUGAGAGAGGGAGGUAGAAUUCCACGUGUAGCGGUGAAAUGCGUAGAUAUGUGGAGGAAUACCGGUGGCGAAGGCGGCCUCCUGGUUCAAUACUGACGCUGAGGUGCGAAAGCGUGGGGAGCAAACAGG